UCUUGAAAUCUCUUGGGAAAAAAAAAGAAAAAAGAACGACCUCAUGUGACUAGAUGUUUGGAACUUUCACUUCUACCCCCAUCUUCGGAGGAGAAGACAGGGGCUGGAGAUCAAGCUAAUGAUCAUGUUGAUAUGACAAAGCCUCCAGAAAAAAACGGAUCCUCCAGGGAUGCACUUGCCACUCUGAACCAAGACAGGAAAGGAAACACUGGCACUUACUGAAAAGGACCUACCUGGCCACCACUCUUCCAAAGGGUUUCCAUGGAUCCUCUUAAUGAGUUUUCCCACCAAGCCUCUCAGCGAGGCACCACUGACCAUUACUUUUUGGUGCUGAAGCCUUGAAAAGUCUCUUUUCCAAAUGUCAAAUGGCUUUGAGAAAGAUGAAUUUGUAAGAUACAUCACACAGGAAAGAAAAAGACCACCACCAAUAAAACUGACACCCAGUGAAGGUAAGGCUCAUAA